CCUUAUUUGAAGAAAAAGCAAUGAACAUGGCAUGAUAAUAAUCCCAAGCACACUGCUAAUGCAGUGAAAUCAUUUGAAGAGGAAAACAGCUGAUAUUACACUGACAGUCAUGGACUGACUUCCACAGAGUCCAGACCUGAAUAUUAUAGAGGCCGUAUGGGAUCACCUGGACAGAGAAAGAAAUAAAAGACAACCUAAAUCUAAAGAAGAACUUUGGGAAGUGAUGAAAAUGCCUGGUACAAUACUGUAUAGCAGAAUAUUACUUCAAAACAACUUCAGGAAGGUCUCCCCAAAAGAGUUCAAGAUGUGCUUUGUGCCAAGGGAGGUCACACUAAAUACUGAUUUUUGCCUGAAGAAGCCAUUUUGUUUUGAAAAUUGUGUUUAUUUUAUUUUUUAUGUACAUAUUCCCUGUAUUUUCUGUUUGUAGUAAUAAAGAUACAGAAAAAUAAAUAUGGAUGGUCAUUAAAAUUUUGCUAAAACAACAAA